rnacentral:lncRNA from 1 species
CGCCGGCCGCCCGCUAAACCGUCCCCUUCCCCGUCACCUGCCCACUCCCGCAGCUGCGGCCCGGCUCGGCUCGACCCGGCCAGCCGCCGCCAUCGUCAGAGGCCCCGCGGGCCCCGCCCCUGCCCGCCCGCCGGGGCGGGGCCUGCCGCCGUCGCGUUGAGGGAGCGACCCCGAGGGCCCCGGGGCCUCCGCAGGAGGAGGCGGACAGCAGCGGGUGGGAGUGCGGCUGGAUCGGCGCGGCCGGCUGGUUCCUCAUGGCCAAACGGACUGCCGGCAGUCGGAGAGGGACUGGGGCGGGUCGGAGGGAGGAAAGUGAGCGCUGGCUCCGAGGGGAGGAGCAGGGAGCCGGGCAGAGCCUGUCACCGCACCUGCAGGUGGCAGAAUCGGUCAUUGCGGGACGCGGCCUCGCACCUGCCGGCUUACAACGCGGGCUGUUCCCGACAGGAGCAGGUCACGGUGCCCCUUGAGCCGCAGGGGACCGUUCCCAAGCCUGACCAGAUGUUUCACGAAUGAGCUGAAGUGGAACCAUGCGGAAAUAGUUUUAACAUUUGUAAUUAAAGCUCUGUCUUUAAGACCUGUGGAAUCCCUCAGAACAUAGUAGUAUUUGGCUUCAGGACAAAGUUAAUUGUAAAGAAGGACAGGAAAUGGAAAGAAACUUCUGAGGAACUUCCAGAUCAACAGGCACACCAGAAAGAAUCGUGGUAAAUAUGCUACUGUUUUUUCUCUUUUCAGCCUCAGCAUUUAAUAUUAUUUGUAGUUAACUGAAGAAGUAGGUGAGGAAAGUUCUUUACAGAAGUUAAAUCAGACGAAAGGGGGAGCUCUUCUUACACCCAUCCAGCAUCCAGCUUUUCCCUAUGACUGGUUUACAAAGACCCUGAUUCAGCAAAAUAAUUCCUGCAUAGGAAUAUACUGAAAUGCUUUUCCAAGUAAGCAAGCCUUGUUGGGGUGGUUAAAACAAAUAAUUUGUACCUUUACUUUAACUGUUGGUGAUUGUUUGUGUCUUUAUGUGACAAAUUCAUGCUGAUGGCAGUUUUUUACAAGACUGGAAGAAAAGACAAUGAAAAUGUAAAAAUGUCAUUGGAAGCAAAGUAUGGUGAAUUACAGAAAAAACAUCACCACAACGGUGGUGUGUGAUCAUGUGCCAUUUAUUCAACAGGAUAGUCAUUGAGAGGCAUAAAAUAAAAUAGAUACUAAAACCUUUUCUAAUUUAAAAUGCAGUGAAGUAUGUUCUAAAGCUAUUGAGCUGUUUGAUAGAACUUACCUGAAGCUAUUUGACAGCUUAGUGUCAAGGGCACCAAUCCACAAACCAAAUCCUAGUACUUGUAAAAAAAUGUGUGCACACUCUCUGUGCAUAACUCUUGCAGAAUAUGAGACUAUUACGCAUAGAGUGACAUUUUCUUAUAGCUGGCAUCGCUACUGCUGCCUAAGAUAGUAUAACUUAUGCAGUGGUUCUUUGGGCCUCUGCUUCCUGUUACCAUGUGGACCAAACUUCCUCACAAGGACUGAUGAAAGCAGAGGGUUUUCUGUUUAAUCACUGCAGUUUCGUUGAUGGGCCAUUGUCUUUGUCCAGUUCUCAAUCAGUUAAGGCAGUAGCAAAACUCCCUAUCUGCAUAUUGCAGGAUUAGGCUCUAGAUGCUCUUUCUUGGCAUUAACUGUUUCAACACUUCUGUAUAUUUCUGUAGGAAGCUUGUGCUAAUCUGAGGAUCCAGUGGGGAGGUUUUAUGACUGAGAGUAUUAAUUUUUAACUUUAGAUCUAUAACUUGUUUUUGUAGAAUUAAGUCUAUAUGUACAGUAUACAGACUUUCCAUUCUAAUGUAUUUAUAUUGUUAUGUAUACUGUGUAUGCUUGUAUGUG